GCCAUCAUAGCUCAGUGGCAGAGCACUGGUUUUUAAAACCAGGGUGGGAGUUGGGAUCCUCACUGGGGGGCU